UACGGGGGGAGCAAGCGUUGUUCGGAUUUACUGGGCGUAAAGAGCUCGUAGGCGGCCACUCAAGUCGAAUGUGAAACCUCGAGGCUUAACCUCGAGCCUGCAUUCGAUACUGGGCGGCUAGAGUCUGGUAGGGGGAUCUGGAAUUCCUGGUGUAGCGGUGGAAUGCGCAGAUAUCAGGAGGAACACCGGUGGCGAAGGCGGGAUCCUGGGCCAGUACUGACGCUGAGGAGCGAAAGCGUGGGGAGCAAACAGG
rnacentral:rRNA from 1 species